rnacentral:rRNA from 1 species
UACGUAGGGGGCUAGCGUUGUUCGGAAUUACUGGGCGUAAAGGGCGCGUAGGCGGUUGGAUAAGUCAGCUGUGAAAACCACGGGCUUAACUCGUGGCCUGCAGUUGAGACUGUCUGGCUUGAGUGUGGGAGAGGAGAGUGGAAUUCCUGGUGUAGCGGUGGAAUGCGCAGAUAUCAGGAGGAACACCGGUGGCGAAGGCGGGUCUCUGGGGUAACACUGACGCUCAUGCACGAAAGCGUGGGGAGCAAACAGG